rnacentral:rRNA from 1 species
UACGGAGGGUGCGAGCGUUGUCCGGAAUCAUUGGGCGUAAAGGGCGCGUAGGUGGCGGGACAAGCGUGCGGUGAAAGCCUGGGGCUCAACCCCGGGUCGGCCGUGCGAACUGUUUUGCUUGAGCACUGUAGAGGCAGGCGGAAUUCCGGGUGUAGCGGUGGAAUGCGUAGAGAUCCGGAAGAACACCAGUGGCGAAGGCGGCUUUCUGGUCUGUAACUGACGCUGAGGCGCGAAAGCGUGGGGAGCAAACAGG